ACUAAGCGUACACGGUGGAUGCCCUGGCAGUCAGAGGCGAUGAAGGACGUGCUAAUCUGCGAAAAGCGUCGGUAAGGUGAUAUGAACCGUUAUAACCGGCGAUGUCCGAAUGGGGAAACCCAGUGUGAUUCGUCACACUAUCGUUAACUGAAUACAUAGGUUAACGAGGCGAACCGGGGGAACUGAAACAUCUAAGUACCCCGAGGAAAAGAAAUCAACCGAGAUUCCCCCAGUAGCGGCGAGCGAACGGGGAGCAGCCCAGAGUCUGAAUCAGCUUGUGUGUUAGUGGAACGGUCUGGAAAGUCCGACGGUACAGGGUGAUAGUCCCGUACACCAAAAUGCACAGGCUGUGAACUCGAAGAGUAGGGCGGGACACGUGGUAUCCUGUCUGAAUAUGGGGGGACCAUCCUCCAAGGCUAAAUACUCCUGACUGACCGAUAGUGAACCAGUACCGUGAGGGAAAGGCGAAAAGAACCCCGGCGAGGGGAGUGAAAAAGAACCUGAAACCGUGUACGUACAAGCAGUGGGAGCACCUUCGGGUGUGACUGCGUACCUUUUGUAUAAUGGGUCAGCGACUUAUAUUCUGUAGCAAGGUUAACCGUAUAGGGGAGCCGCAGGGAAACCGAGUCUUAACUGGGCGUUAAGUUGCAGGGUAUAGACCCGAAACCCGGUGAUCUAGCCAUGGGCAGGUUGAAGGUUGGGUAACACUAACUGGAGGACCGAACCGACUAAUGUUGAAAAAUUAGCGGAUGACUUGUGGCUGGGGGUGAAAGGCCAAUCAAACCGGGAGAUAGCUGGUUCUCCCCGAAAGCUAUUUAGGUAGCGCCUCGUGAAUUCAUCUUCGGGGGUAGAGCACUGUUUCGGCUAGGGGGUCAUCCCGACUUACCAACCCGAUGCAAACUACGAAUACCGAAGAAUGUUAUCACGGGAGACACACGGCGGGUGCUAACGUCCGUCGUGAAGAGGGAAACAACCCAGACCGCCAGCUAAGGUCCCAAAGUCAUGGUUAAGUGGGAAACGAUGUGGGAAGGCACAGACAGCCAGGAUGUUGGCUUAGAAGCAGCCAUCAUUUAAAGAAAGCGUAAUAGCUCACUGGUCGAGUCGGCCUGCGCGGAAGAUGUAACGGGGCUAAACCAUGCACCGAAGCUGCGGCAGCGACACUAUGUGUUGUUGGGUAGGGGAGCGUUCUGUAAGCCUGCGAAGGUGACCUGUGAGGGUUGCUGGAGGUAUCAGAAGUGCGAAUGCUGACAUAAGUAACGAUAAAGCGGGUGAAAAGCCCGCUCGCCGGAAGACCAAGGGUUCCUGUCCAACGUUAAUCGGGGCAGGGUGAGUCGACCCCUAAGGCGAGGCCGAAAGGCGUAGUCGAUGGGAAACAGGUUAAUAUUCCUGUACUUGGUGUUACUGCGAAGGGGGGACGGAGAAGGCUAUGUUAGCCGGGCGACGGUUGUCCCGGUUUAAGCAUGUAGGCUGGUUGUCCAGGCAAAUCCGGAUAAUCAAGGCUGAGGUGUGAUGACGAGGCACUACGGUGCUGAAGUAACAAAUGCCCUGCUUCCAGGAAAAGCCUCUAAGCAUCAGGUAACAUUAAAUCGUACCCCAAACCGACACAGGUGGUCAGGUAGAGAAUACCAAGGCGCUUGAGAGAACUCGGGUGAAGGAACUAGGCAAAAUGGUGCCGUAACUUCGGGAGAAGGCACGCUGGUGUGUAGGUGAAGUCCCUGCGGAUGGAGCUGAGACCAGUCGAAGAUACCAGCUGGCUGCAACUGUUUAUUAAAAACACAGCACUGUGCAAACACGAAAGUGGACGUAUACGGUGUGACGCCUGCCCGGUGCCGGAAGGUUAAUUGAUGGGGUUAUCCGUAAGGAGAAGCUCUUGAUCGAAGCCCCGGUAAACGGCGGCCGUAACUAUAACGGUCCUAAGGUAGCGAAAUUCCUUGUCGGGUAAGUUCCGACCUGCACGAAUGGCGUAAUGAUGGCCAGGCUGUCUCCACCCGAGACUCAGUGAAAUUGAACUCGCUGUGAAGAUGCAGUGUACCCGCGGCAAGACGGAAAGACCCCGUGAACCUUUACUAUAGCUUGACACUGAACAUUGAGCCUUGAUGUGUAGGAUAGGUGGGAGGCUUUGAAGCGUGGACGCCAGUCUGCGUGGAGCCAACCUUGAAAUACCACCCUUUAAUGUUUGAUGUUCUAACGUUGGCCCCUUAUCGGGGUUGCGGACAGUGUCUGGUGGGUAGUUUGACUGGGGCGGUCUCCUCCCAAAGCGUAACGGAGGAGCACGAAGGUUAGCUAAUCCUGGUCGGACAUCAGGAGGUUAGUGCAAUGGCAUAAGCUAGCUUGACUGCGAGCGUGACGGCGCGAGCAGGUGCGAAAGCAGGUCAUAGUGAUCCGGUGGUUCUGAAUGGAAGGGCCAUCGCUCAACGGAUAAAAGGUACUCCGGGGAUAACAGGCUGAUACCGCCCAAGAGUUCAUAUCGACGGCGGUGUUUGGCACCUCGAUGUCGGCUCAUCACAUCCUGGGGCUGAAGUAGGUCCCAAGGGUAUGGCUGUUCGCCAUUUAAAGUGGUACGCGAGCUGGGUUUAGAACGUCGUGAGACAGUUCGGUCCCUAUCUGCCGUGGGCGCUGGAGAAUUGAGGGGGGCUGCUCCUAGUACGAGAGGACCGGAGUGGACGCAUCACUGGUGUUCGGGUUGUCAUGCCAAUGGCACUGCCCGGUAGCUAAAUGCGGAAGAGAUAAGUGCUGAAAGCAUCUAAGCACGAAACUUGCCCCGAGAUGAGUUCUCCCUGAGACUUUAAGUCUCCUGAAGGAACGUUACAGACGAUGACGUUGAUAGGCCGGGUGUGUAAGCGCAGCGAUGCGUUGAGCUAACCGGUACUAAUGAACCGUGAGGCUUAACC
rnacentral:rRNA from 1 species